rnacentral:lncRNA from 1 species
GGCUUAGUGCAUGUGUGAUUUGGUUGCCUUCCUUUGUUUGCCAUGUCUCAUAUAUCACCUUCGACCGCUUCAAUGGUUCUUAUACAUUUCGUUGAGCUCCAGACAGACGUCCCUCGAACACCCCAUAGCAUUAGGUUUUACCAUUUUCGUAUGUUUUCCCUUUUGCUAUAUUCAGAGGUUGGGGUUUUGGUUAAAUUUGGAAUGCAUUGUAUUUCUAUGGAAUUCAGAGCUGUAGUUAUUGAUUAAUUUACUUCAGAAACAGAAUUCGUUUUUCAUCUGUCAAAUGUAGAAUUGGCUUUAUGCAUGUGCAAUUUGGUUGCGUUCCUUUGUCCACCACCUUCGAGCGCUUCAAUGGCAUCCUUAUACUUUUGGUCGAGCUCCGGACAUACAUCCCCCGAACACCCCCUACCAUUAGGCUUCACUAUUUUUCUAUGUUUUCCUCUUUCUUCUGCUAUUUAGAGGUUUGGGUUUAUAUUUUACUGGAAUUCAGAGUUAUAGUUGUAAUUGAUUGAUUUCAUUAUAAUGAAGGAAAAUGGGGAAAAUAUUGAUUCAUUGAUAGCAUGUGAAAAUAUGUUGAGGUCUCAGUAUGUUUAUGACCCUGCAUAAAUAGUAUAGUAACUCUAAAGGGAAACUCAUAAAAUGAAAAUAACGA